rfam:Schistosoma curassoni strain Dakar, Senegal genome assembly, scaffold: SCTD_scaffold0000768
AUCCAGCUGAAGAGUCCCAAAUGGGACAAAACACAAAUCCUGGAU